rnacentral:rRNA from 1 species
ACACGUAUGAAAGUCAAGCUGAAAGACUUUACUCAAUGAUGUAAGUGGUGGUGCAUGGUCGUUCUUAGUUCGUGGAUUGAUUUGUCUGGUCGAUUCCGAUAACGAGCGAGACCCCGGUGUUCCUAAUAGGGGCGGGAGCCCGCUGGCCGCAAGGCCAGCAGCUACCGCCUGAGAUGUACUUCUUAGACACAUCAGGGCCGAUAAGGUCCUUGAAAUGGGUUAAUAACAGGUCAGUCAUGCCCUUAGAUGUUCUGGGCCGCACGCGCGUUACAAUGGCACGUAUAGAAAGUGCCUCCAAAGGCGUAUCCCGGGCCUAACGGCUCGGGUAACCCUUAGUCCCUGCUUUGACUGGGAUAGAUCCUUGCAAUUAUUGGUCUCUAACGAGGAAUUUUUAGUAAGCGCGGGUCAUUAACCCGUGCUGA